AGUGAAGUUGUACACUUUCAUGCGGAGUUGAGAUUCAAUACAAUGCCAGAGCUCUAUCUUCAGCGAACUGGUAAUAUGAAAAUAUCGGUACCAAAAAUAUAAUCGUGAAAUGGUGAGUACGAACUUAACUUUGGAUGUUCAGUGCCAAUUAUGAUGCCCAACUCAGUUGAUGUUACCACGGAGAAUUAUAUAACAAGCAUUGAGCGUUAAAUAGCUUGAAACCUUAUACUUAAGGUCACUUGUCUAUCUGAUUGUAAAUGACAGGAUGCAAUAUUACAUUAUCAUUACUUAAUUGAAGAAUAUAAUUAUAUUUGCGAUUGUUAUUAAAGCAAUCUUCAUACACAAAUUCUAGAUCAUCAGAUUUCUCUUUGUAUAGAAGGUCCUAAAAUCAGUGAGCGCUAGAAACUUUAGGCAGAAAAUUGUCGCGAGGGCAUACAAAUUGAAGUAUAAUUUGAAGAAUCCACCCGGGAAACUACAACCAGGAACCAUUUUAUUUCGGCUUCAGUUCCUAAUUUUUUUAAUAUUGACUAUCUAGUGUGGAAAAGAGUGAUUUAUAACCUCUGUGUCCAUAUCGGUAUGUCCCAGUUUCAGUCGUCAUCAUUUCAGUUACAGUUUCCUCUCGUGCAAGCCCCAAAUCAGUAAGCUUCAGCUUCUUACGGUUUGUAGUAAGCAAAAAAUUAUCUGCCCACACAAAACUUUUAUUAGGACAUCGUAAAAGCAUAAAAAGUGUGACAGAGCAGCUCUGACAUAAAGGGAAAAAACAACUACUGGAAGAAGCUACAAGGUAAAGCAAGCAAAACAAAAUGGUAAGACUGAUAGGGAUAAAGAAACAAAUCAUGAGUGAACCAUGAACAGGUACUAUAGCAAAGCAGAUACCAUGGAUGUGAAAUCAGGAAAAUUUUAGAUGAUUAACGGACCAACUACUGAAAAUCAAAGAAGCUGAACCAAAAAGAAGAAACUAAAAACAAUACCUUCGCAAGUAGUCAUUCAUUUUUGAAUGUUAGAAGGGAGAGAAAGAUUGGUGGAAUAGUUGUUGUAUUGCUUGAGCCUCGUGGGCAUAUAUAUAGGAGUACAAAGACCAACUUGGAGUACAAGACAAGGCAGGACCGAAUCCUAGUCUAUCCUAUACUUCCUAAUUAUCAAUAUACUCAACAUCCCCCCGCAGUCACAACGAUAGCGAUGCAGACGGUGAGACUGGAGAAGAAUCCGAAGGCAAGCCGACGAACACCCCCCACAGUCGUAACGGUCGACGCAUCGCGGAGUCGUGGCUGGAGUGAAAACCGACGAGGUUGCUCAAGCAGGCGGUAGCCCUUUGUGCCGUUUGUCGAUGUAGCCGAGAGCGUGUGUGGUGGAGCCGUGGUCGAGGUAGCCGUGCGAAGAAUGCCGUGGUCGAUGUCGAGUCGGGGUGGCCGGUGUCGAGGAAGUCGCCGUGGAGCCGCGGGCGCAAGGGGGCGCCGAGUUAGUCGUGGGCGCAGUGGUGUCGAAGUAGUGGUGCGCCAGGACGGAGAUGAUGUUGACGACGCGUCGCGCCGGGGUUGCCAACCCUGGGGACACAUCGUAGACGAAGGCACGCGUCGGUGUUGCCAGCACCGGGCAUGCGUAGACGGACGAAGACGAAGUUGACGAAGCGCCGCGCCAGGCUUGCCAGGCCCGGGGACACAUCGUGGACGAAGGCACGCGACGGUGUUGCCAGUACCGGGCGUGCAUAGACUAGGACCUGCACAAGCUGUACGCCAUGUCGAAGAAGUCGGAGAGGCCAGCAGAGAAGGACUCGACGACGGUUGCGGCGCCAAUCGGCACGGGGCCAAUGUCGCCCGCGGUUGUCGGAGUAGAUGAAGUGAUCGGGGUAGAUGACGGCGACGCUGGCGACGAGCUGGUGCUGGACGAAGACGAAGGGGGUGGACGGGCGGCGGCGGCGGCUACGAAGGUAGCGGCGGCGGCGGCCAAAGAAGAGCGGCAGCGGCGGCCUGAAGGCGGCGGCGGCGGCUAGGUUAGCAGUGCGGCGGCGGUGCUCGAAGUAGGCGAAGAACCCUGACAGCGUGACGAAGACCGGCGCGGACGGUGGUGUUCCCGCGCCAAGGGAGACGGCGCGGCGCAUACCACGGGAGAUCGAGUUGCGGUGACGGCGGAGUGGACCGCGGGCCGCGGCGCUACGAUCCAAAGGGGCGACGCAGCGGCGGCAGGCGGAUCGGGGCGAUGGUGGGAAGACCUCGGGGCGGCAGCGGGGACCGCGGGCCGCGACGCUGCGGCCCGAAGGGGCGACGCAACGGCGGUUCGCGAGUCGGUGCAACCGCAGGGACGGCCUCGGGAUGGCGGCGUGGACCACGGGCCGCGGCACUACGGCCCGAAGGGGCGACGCAGCGGUGACGCGGGUCGGUGCAACCGGGAGAAGAACCACGGGGCGGCGGCGCUGCGGCUACGGGGGUAGCGCAGCGGCAGCCCGUUGCUCGAUAGACGGAGGGGCGCGCUGAACUCGGAGACGAUCUUCACGGGACCUGCCAAGGUGCGCGUAACUGACGGGCCAGGUCGGUCGCGCGGCGUAGAUGAGGCGGAUCGCGGCGGCGAGCGGGUGAUCAAGCCGAUCGCGCGCGAGGUCGGGGACACCGCUCGGUGAAGGCGUGGUGGCGGCGGAGUCCGAGAUGAAGUCGGCGGCGGCGGGCGGCAGGGCGGCUAUGAUUGGCCGCCGCAUGGCGCGAGGCCGCCGGGUCGGGGUGAUGCAGGAGUCCCGGUCGGAGCAGGCGGUGACGGCCGGCGUAGAUCGACGGGCGGGCCGGCGCGCGAACGGCGGCGGUGAAGGGCCGCCGCAUGACGCGAGGCCGCCGGGUCGGGGCGACCGGCGGGUAGGCCGCCGGGUCGGUGAAGACGUCGGUGUAGUCGAUGCCGAAGUCGGAGUAGAGGCGCACGGGGUCGACGGCGGCGGUGGGCGACGCAAACCGGAUCACAAAGACCGGAAAACCAAAAAGUAGACGCCGAUCAAAGCGACCGGCGAGAGAGAAAACCCGGAUCAAAGGAUCGGGAAAAAGACUCUCUAGGGCAGCGGGCCAACAUGGCCGGCGGACGAACCCUAGGUACGGGCGGCGCGGCCCCCGGCGGCGGUCAUGGAGGCCGACCGCCCCGGGGGCGACGCGCGGGUGCGGAAGCGGCGGCGGCUAGGGUUUAGGAUCGACUUGCGAUAGAUACCAUGUUAGAAGGGAGAGAAAGAUUGGUGGAAUAGUUGUUGUAUUGCUUGAGCCUCGUGGGCAUAUAUAUAGGAGUACAAAGACCAACUUGGAGUACAAGACAAGGCAGGACCGAAUCCUAGUCUAUCCUAUACUUCUUAAUUAUCAAUAUACUCAACAUUGAAACCAGAUGCUAUGACGAUGAGGUGCAAAAGGUGAAACAAAUAGUACCCACACAAAUAAGAAAAGAGUGUUCUAUUGAAGUGUCGUAAAUAGUUAAAAGCAGAUGCCUCUAACCCACUUGAUUCUACAAGUAAAUAAGCAACAGAUCUUACUGUUGAAUGCAAUGGUUGGUAUCCAAACGGGAAAAGGGUACAUCGUCUUUAACCUGUUGACGCUAUGACAGAUUUAAUCACCAUUAGAAACAAUCCUGAUUAGAAAUGCAUUAGGAUUUCUAAUAAACCCCAUGAUACAGCAAAUUGGUAUUAUGAACCAAAAUGUUUAGAAAUCAUGUAAUUCUACCGCAACAAAUUUAUUAUGAAUAUUGAACAUAUUAAGGAGAAGUGUCUUGGCAAAAAUAGAAUAAAGCAUUCAGGAUAAGAAUCUCACCUGCC
rnacentral:lncRNA from 1 species